CCUACGGGAGGCAGCAGUGAGGAAUAUUGGUCAAUGGGCGUGAGCCUGAACCAGCCAAGUAGCGUGAAGGAUGACUGCCCUACGGGUUGUAAACUUCUUUUAUACAGGAAUAAAGUGCGGCACGUGUGCCUUUUUGUAUGUACUUCAUGAAUAAGGAUCGGCUAAUUCCGUGCCAGCAGCCGCGGUAAUACGGAGGAUCCGAGCGUUAUCCGGAUUUAUUGGGUUUAAAGGGAGCGUAGGUGGGUUGUUAAGUCAGUUGUGAAAGUCUGCGGCUCAACCGUAAAAUUGCAAUUGAUACUGGCAGCCUUGAGUGCGGGUAAGGUAGGCGGAAUUCGUGGUGUAGCGGUGAAAUGCUUAGAUAUCACGAAGAACUCCGAUUGCGAAGGCAGCCUACUAAACUGCCACUGACGUUGAUGCUCGAAGGUGUGGGUAUCGAACAGGAUUAGAUACCCGAGUAGUC
rnacentral:rRNA from 1 species